CACGUAGGGUGCGAGCGUUGUCCGGAAUUAUUGGGCGUAAAGAGCUCGUAGGCGGUGUGUCGCGUCGGCCGUGAAAACCUGCAGCUUAACUGUGGGCGUGCGGUCGAUACGGGCAUCACUGGAGUUCGGCAGGGGAGACUGGAAUUCCUGGUGUAGCGGUGAAAUGCGCAGAUAUCAGGAGGAACACCGGUGGCGAAGGCGGGUCUCUGGGCCGAUACUGACGCUGAGGCGCGAAAGCAUGGGGAGCGAACGGG
rnacentral:rRNA from 1 species